UUUUACAGUGUAAAAUCUGAGUUUUCAGUCAACCGGAGGACAAGAAUGAUGAGAUCCUUGAGUGUUUUACUAGUGAUCCUGAGUCUUCAGUUGAGCUGGGUGAGCAGCCAACAGAAGGAGGUGGAGCAGCAUCCUGAAUCCCUCCGUGUUGCUGAAGGAACCACGGCCUCUCUCAACUGCACUUACAGGAACAGUGCUUAUGAUAACUUCAGGUGGUACAGACAGUAUUCUGGGAAAGGCCUUGAGCUGCUGGUGUCUGCAUUCUCCAGUGGUGAUAAAGAAGCAGGAAGAUUCACAGUGCUUAUCAAUACAGCAAGCCGAUUCUUUUCCUUGCACUUUAGAGACUCCCAGCCCAGUGACUCAGCCACCUUCCUCUGUGCAGUGAGCACACAGUGCUCCCCAGACACCUGCAGCCUGCACCAAAACCUAAGGGGCCCAAGUAGAGUGUGA